rnacentral:rRNA from 1 species
GAUGAACGCUGGCGGCGUGCCUAAUACAUGCAAGCCGAGCGAAUGGAUUAAGAGCUUGCUCUUAUGAAGUUAGCGGCGGACGGGUGAGUAACACGUGGGUAACCUGCCCAUAAGACUGGGAUAACUCCGGGAAACCGGGGCUAAUACCGGAUAACAUUUUGAACCGCAUGGUUCGAAAUUGAAAGGCGGCGUCGGCUGUCACUUAUGGAUGGACCCGGGUCGCAUAAGCUAGUUGGUGAGGUAACGGCUCACCAAGGCAACGAUGCGUAGCCGACCUGAGAGGGUGAUCGGCCACACUGGGACUGAGACACGGCCCAGACUCCUACGGGAGGCAGCAGUAGGGAACCUUCCGCAAUGGACGAAAGUCUGACGGAGCAACGCCGCGUGAGUGAUGAAGGCUUUCGGGUCGUAAAACUCUGUUGUUAGGGAAGAACAAGUGCUAGUUGAAUAGGCUGGCACCUUGACGGUACCUAACCAGAAAGCCACGGCUAACUACGUGCCAGCAGCCGCCGUAA